rnacentral:rRNA from 1 species
CAGUAGCCGCGGUAAAACGAAGGGGGCUAGCGUUGCUCGGAAUUACUGGGCGUAAAGGGAGCGUAGGCGGAUCGUUAAGUUGGGGGUGAAAGCCCGGGGCUCAACCUCGGAAUUGCCUUCAAUACUGGCGAUCUUGAGUAUGGAAGAGGUAUGCGGAACUCCGAGUGUAGAGGUGAAAUUCGUAGAUAUUCGGAAGAACACCAGUGGCGAAGGCGACUGACUGGACAAGUAUUGACGCUGAGGUGCGAAAGCGUGGGGAGCAAACAGGAUUAGAUACCCCAGUAGUCCCUGUCUCUUAUAC